CCCUUUGGGGUGUGACUGCGUACCUUUUGUAUAAUGGGUCAGCGACUUAUAUUCUGUAGCAAGGUUAACCGAAUAGGGGAGCCGGAGGGAAACCGAGUCUUAAUUGGGCGUUAAGUUGCAGGGUAUAGACCCGAAACCCGGUGAUCUAGCCAUGGGCAGGUUGAAGGUUGGGUAACACUAACUGGAGGACCGAACCGACUAAUGUUGAAAAAUUAGCGGAUGACCUGUGGCUGGGGGUGAAAGGCCAAUCAAACCGGGAGAUAGCUGGUUCUCCCCGAAAGCUAUUUAGGUAGCGCCUCGUGAAUUCAUCUCCGGGGGUAGAGCACUGUUUCGGCUAGGGGGCCAUCCCGGCUUACCAACCCGAUGCAAACUGCGAAUACCGGAGAAUGUUAUCACGGGAGACACACGGCGGGUGCUAACGUCCGUCGUGAAGAGGGAAACAACCCAGACCGCCAGCUAAGGUCCCAAAGUCAUGGUUAAGUGGGAAACGAUGUGGGAAGGCCCAGACAGCCAGGAUGUUGGCUUAGAAGCAGCCAUCAUUUAAAGAAAGCGUAAUAGCUCACUGGUCGAGUCGGCCUGCGCGGAAGAUGUAACGGGGCUAAACCAUGCACCGAAGCUGCGGCAGCGACGCUGAUGUGUUGUUGGGUAGGGGAGCGUUCUGUAAGCCUGUGAAGGUGUGUCGUGAGGCAUGCUGGAGGUAUCAGAAGUGCGAAUGCUGACAUAAGUAACGAUAAAGCGGGUGAAAAGCCCGCUCGCCGGAAGACCAAGGGUUCCUGUCCAACGUUAAUCGGGGCAGGGUGAGUCGACCCCUAAGGCGAGGCCGAAAGGCGUAGUCGAUGGGAAACGGGUUAAUAUUCCCGUACUUGGUGUUACUGCGAAGGGGGGACGGAGAAGGCUAUGUUGGCCGGGCGACGGUUGUCCCGGUUUAAGCGUGUAGGUGUGUGUUCCAGGUAAAUCCGGUUCACUUUAACACUGAGGCGUGACGACGAGGCACUACGGUGCUGAAGCAACAAAUGCCCUGCUUCCAGGAAAAGCCUCUAAGCAUCAGGUAACAUCAAAUCGUACCCCAAACCGACACAGGUGGUCAGGUAGAGAAUACCAAGGCGCUUGAGAGAACUCGGGUGAAGGAACUAGGCAAAAUGGUGCCGUAACUUCGGGAGAAGGCACGCUGACACGUAGGUGAAGUGAUUUACUCAUGGAGCUGAAGUCAGUCGAAGAUACCAGCUGGCUGCAACUGUUUAUUAAAAACACAGCACUGUGCAAACACGAAAGUGGACGUAUACGGUGUGACGCCUGCCCGGUGCCGGAAGGUUAAUUGAUGGGGUCAGCGCAAGCGAAGCUCCUGAUCGAAGCCCCGGUAAACGGCGGCCGUAACUAUAACGGUCCUAAGGUAGCGAAAUUCCUUGUCGGGUAAGUUCCGACCUGCACGAAUGGCGUAAUGAUGGCCAGGCUGUCUCCACCCGAGACUCAGUGAAAUUGAACUCGCUGUGAAGAUGCAGUGUACCCGCGGCAAGACGGAAAGACCCCGUGAACCUUUACUAUAGCUUGACACUGAACAUUGAGCCUUGAUGUGUAGGAUAGGUGGGAGGCUUUGAAGUGUGGACGCCAGUCUGCAUGGAGCCGACCUUGAAAUACCACCCUUUAAUGUUUGAUGUUCUAACGUGGACCCGUGAUCCGGGUUGCGGACAGUGUCUGGUGGGUAGUUUGACUGGGGCGGUCUCCUCCUAAAGAGUAACGGAGGAGCACGAAGGUUGGCUAAUCCUGGUCGGACAUCAGGAGGUUAGUGCAAUGGCAUAAGCCAGCUUGACUGCGAGCGUGACGGCGCGAGCAGGUGCGAAAGCAGGUCAUAGUGAUCCGGUGGUUCUGAAUGGAAGGGCCAUCGCUCAACGGAUAAAAGGUACUCCGGGGAUAACAGGCUGAUACCGCCCAAGAGUUCAUAUCGACGGCGGUGUUUGGCACCUCGAUGUCGGCUCAUCACAUCCUGGGGCUGAAGUAGGUCCCAAGGGUAUGGCUGUUCGCCAUUUAAAGUGGUACGCGAGCUGGGUUUAGAACGUCGUGAGACAGUUCGGUCCCUAUCUGCCGUGGGCGCUGGAGAACUGAGGGGGGCUGCUCCUAGUACGAGAGGACCGGAGUGGACGCAUCACUGGUGUUCGGGUUGUCAUGCCAAUGGCACUGCCCGGUAGCUAAAUGCGGAAGAGAUAAGUGCUGAAAGCAUCUAAGCACGAAACUUGCCCCGA
rnacentral:rRNA from 1 species